AUUGAACGCUGGCGGCAGGCCUAACACAUGCAAGUCGAGCGGAUGAAGGGAGCUUGCUCCCGGAUUCAGCGGCGGACGGGUGAGUAAUGCCUAGGAAUCUGCCUGGUAGUGGGGGAUAACGUUCGGAAACGGGCGCUAAUACCGCAUACGUCCUGAGGGAGAAAGCGUGGGAUCUUCGGACCUCAUGCUAUCAGAUGAGCCUAGGUCGGAUUAGCUAGUUGGUGGGGUAAUGGCCUACCAAGGCGACGAUCCGUAACUGGUCUGAGAGGAUGAUCAGUCACACUGGAACUGAGACACGGUCCAGACUCCUACGGGAGGCAGCAGUGGGGAAUAUUGGACAAUGGGCGAAAGCCUGAUCCAGCCAUGCCGCGUGUGUGAAGAAGGUCUUCGGAUUGUAAAGCACUUUAAGUUGGGAGGAAGGGCAGUAAGUUAAUACCUUGCUGUUUUGACGUUACCAACAGAAUAAGCACCGGCUAACUUCGUG
rnacentral:rRNA from 1 species